CCUACGGGCGGCAGCAGUGAGGAAUAUUGGUCAAUGGACGCGAGUCUGAACCAGCCACGUCGCGUGAAGGAUGACUGCCCUAUGGGUUGUAAACUUCUUUUAUAAAGGAAUAAAACGAGGCACGUGUGCCUUUUUGCAUGUACUUUAUGAAUAAGGAUCGGCUAACUCCGUGCCAGCAGCCGCGGUAAUACGGAGGAUCCGAGCGUUAUCCGGAUUUAUUGGGUUUAACGGGAGCGUAGAUGGGUUGUUAAGUCAGUUGUGAAAGGUUGCGGCUCAACCGUAAAAGUGCAAUUGAUACUGGCAGUCUUGAGUACAGUUGAGGAAGGCGGAAUUCGUGGUGUAGCGGUGAAAUGCGUAGAUAUCACGAAGAACACCGAUGGCGAAGGCAGCUUACUAAACUGUGACUGACACUGAUGCUCGAAAGUGUGGGUAUCAAACAGGAUUAGAUACCCGAGUAGUC
rnacentral:rRNA from 1 species